rnacentral:snoRNA from 1 species
GAUAUCGGAUGAUGAUUAAAUCAACGCAAUCUUAGGACACCUUCCUACACAGCUUCAAACACUGUGGAUGAGAGUGAAUGUUAAUCUGACGAUACU